rnacentral:rRNA from 1 species
AGGAUGGACGCUGGCGGCGUGCCUAAAACAUGCAAGUCAUACGGUCUACCUUCGGGUAGACAGUGGCAAACGGGUGAGUAACACGUGGGAACACGCCUUCGAGUGGGGAAUAACGCUGAGAAAUCAGUGCUAAUACCGCAUAUGGUCUAACGACUAAAGCAGUAAUGCGCUCGGAGAGUGGCCCGCGUCCGAUUAGCUAGUUGGUGGGGUAAUGGCCUACCAAGGCGGUGAUCGGUAGCUGGUCUGAGAGGAUGGUCAGCCACACUGGGACUGCGAACGGCCCAGACUCCUACGGGAGGCAGCAGUUAGGAAUUUUCGGCAAUGGACGAAAGUCUGACCGAGCGACGCCGCGUGGAGGACGAAGCCUUUCGGGGUGUAAACUCCUUUCUGCGGGAAGAUAAUGACGGUACCGCAGGAAUAAGCACCGGCUAACUACGCGCCAGCAGCCGC